UUCCCGGAGGAGUUUGUUAAAGAGAGGGGCUCAGACACAGCUCUGAUCCCACGUCCUCAUCCCUAUCCCUGUUAUCAUGACCCCCCAUUCCCAUCCCCCUCGUCUCCCCCAUCCCUGUCCCCUAUGUGUCCCCCAACCAGAGCUCAGGGUGAUGCUGCGUGCGGGUCUGAAGAGCGGAGCACGAAAACCCUCUUGGAAUGUGGAGCAUCCCAGAGCGGCAAAAAGAAUCAUCCUGAUGGACUGGUGUCUGGAUGGUGGUGGCAGGUGGGGGCCUGUAAACGCGCACGAGUGCUGAUUUACACCAAGAAAGAAAAAAAAAGACCUUCUUUUUAGUUGGUGGAGAUGGGCCAAUGGCAGCGGCGAAGCAAGAGGAGCUCUGGAGUCUGAACGGAGAUUAAGGAUGCGGAACGUCUGUCAUCCUCAAAGCCAAGACUCUGAAGGGCUGUUAGUGCGGUUAAAGUGACCAUACUGUGGGGCAUUUGGGGGAAUCUCUGUCCCAAGAGCAUUCCAGAGCCACUGGCAUGAUUGUCUGAGAAUCAUAGAAUCAUAGAACCACCAGGCUGGAAAGGACCCACUGGAUCAUCGAGUCCAACCAUUCCUAACACUCCCUAAACCAUGUCCCUAAGCUCUUCAUCCACCCGUUCCUUAAACACCUCCAGGGAAGGCGACUCGACCACCUCCCUGGGCAGCUGUUCCAGUGCCCGAUGACUCUUUCCAUGGAUAAUUUUUUUUCUGAUAUCCAGCCUGAACCUCCCCUGGCGGAGCUUCAGGCCAUUCCCUCUUGUCCUGUCCCCUGUCACUUGGGAGAAGUGAGAGCUUCCUACUAAGUACACACAAAGGGAGUCCCGGCUGAGGUGUGAUUUUAAUUCCAGUUAUGAUGGGUUCAGCAUCUUGAAUCCAUCUCAUUUGGGCAGAGGAAAUCUCCUAAUUUAUCUUAGAACCAAAAAUAACAAAGUGGGCAUUUCUCUGCCUUUUUUCAUCAGUCUGCAAAACCCUUCUGAAGUCACCUGUGGAGGACAAGGGACAUGCAGGGGGCCAAAUAACCAUAAAAUGUCCCAAGCUGGAAGGGACCCACAAGGAUCUUCAAGUCCAACUCCUGACUUCACCUCUAAGUUUUUUUAUACAGAGAGAAGGUCGUUGUCCCUGUAGGCAGAACCUGUUUUGGACAACCGAAGCGGGACGGGACUGUCAAAAUUCUUUGCCUUGCCCACUGAAUUUACAUGCCACAGAAGUGACUUUCAGCGGAUGUUCGUGCAGAGCUCCCUUUGAACUAGGACCAGAAAUGGCACGCUCUGGUCCACCACGGGUGUUUAUGAGAGCAUAAUUAAACUUCUGACAUCGCUCAAGGUGUGGUGAUGCGGGAGGAAGAUCAUAGGCCUGCAUUUUAAGUUGUGACUCAUUUGUUUUGAAUGACAUGUUUUGAAUGUCUCAAGACACACAAAGGGGCCCAUAUUCUUCGUCGUGCUGAACGGCGGAAGUAUCUGCGCUCUAAAAAGCAGACCUCUCAAGUUUAAGUUUAUCUGCCAUGAUUUUAAUUGCUUGUAGUCUCACCUGGGAAAGUGGAAGAACAAGUCUAGGGAGUAAAGCAGAAUGAGGGGAAAAGGCUUGGGAACCAUCACGAGAGCUGCACAAACCUUUACAGAGUCCGUUCACUGCUCAGCAAUGCCAAGUGCACCUCCCAGCACCUCUCUGCUCUGCAGGAUGGGUCUGAACACAAUAUUCAGCAAUCUUGAUGCCCUUUGGUAGGGAACAGUCAUGGACAUCAUAGAAUCAUGGAAUGGAUUCAGACGAAAGGGACCUCAAAGCUCAUCCAGUUCCACCCCCUGCCAUGGGCAGGGACACCUCCCACUGGAUCAGGGGCUCCAAGCACCAUCCAACCUGGCCUGGAACCCCUCCAGGGAUGAGGCAGCCACCACUGACUGCUCUGGGCACCCUGGGCCAGGGCCUCACCAACCUCAUCGUGAAGAAUUUCUUUCUAAUGUCUAAAUGCUGGACAACCCCAACUCUCUCAGCCUGCCCUCGCAUGGGAGGUGCUGCAGCCCUCCGAUCACCUCUGUGGCCUCCUCUGGACUUGCUCCAACAUCUCCAUGUCCUUACUGAGCUGAGGACUCCAGAACUGGACACAGGGCUCCACGUGGGGUCUCACCAGAGUGGACCAGAGGGAAAGAAUCCCCUCCCUCACCUGCUGGUCCCACUGCUUUGGAUGCAGCGCAGGACACGGUUGGUUUCUGGGUGGGAGCACCCAUUCCCAGCUCAUGUUGGGCUUCUCCCACAGCACCCCAAGUCCUUCUCCAAAGGGCUGCUCCCAAUCCAUUCUCCGCCCAGCCUGAACUUGUACCUGGGAUCAAAAAGAAUCAAAAGAGAAAAGUUAUGAACACUUGAAACUCUCUUUGGCUUUGCAAACUUCUGGCUGAUUUGGCUUCAUAAGAAAUGAGCUUCCUGCUCCCUUCCAAAACUCAGCGGGAGGGGUGUGAAUUAGACUAAUGAGAGCGAUGGGCUCACGCACAUCUUCCUCUCUUACGAAGUUUCAGAUUAGAAAAUGCUUCCAGUCCCACCUGGACUGUGCUGGGCGAGUGAUGGAGGCAGAAGGCACCUCCCAGUGCCGCAGUGUGAAAGACAACAAGGCCCGAGCCUGAAUCCCAAGUUAUGAAACCUUAUUUACCGAUGGUUUAGCUGUUUAUAAGUAACAUUUUGCAUGAGGCCCCAUGGUGGCCGUGUAACUUGAGGAACUGUGGCCAAGAUCCUUUGUUAAACAGGGUUUUUGGAAAGCUGCUGCCCGGGUGGCAGCCUGGGGCGAGCGGCAGUGCCCAAGCCAGUGGCAAUACUCUUGUGCCUGGAGCUGCAAAGCCAGCCCUGGAGAAGCCUGGUGUAUUUUCCCUCCAAUAACACAUUUUUUUCCCAGCAAAUUGCUGCAACCGUGUGCUGAUUUCCACGGGCAGCAGCUCCAUCUCUUCUAACAGUUUUUCUACUGGGGCAUCUCAGCCCUUGUGCGUGGUCGGUGGCUCCUGCUCUCCCGAUGGCCGUGAUGGGCAGCCUGGCUGGCCUUGCUCCAAGAACUGACUGUAAGAGAAAGGAGCAUUAAACACAUCGUAAUAAAUAUUGACAUA